GCGGGGAAAGAAGACCCUUUUGAGCUUGACUCUAAUCUGGCAGUGUAAGGAGACAUAAGAGGUGUAGAAUAAGUGGGAGAUAUUAGACUUCGGUUUGGUAUCGACAAUGAAAUACCACUACUCUUAUUGUUUCCUUACUUACUUGAUUAAAUGGAACGUGUAUCAUUUCCUAGCCAUUAUACGGAUAUAAUUAUUAUGUCUUAUGGUAUUGGGUUUUGAUGCAAGCUUCUUGAUCAAAGUAUCACGAGUUUGUUAUAUAAUCGCAAACAAAUUCUUUAAUGAGAGAAUGCAUUUAUGUAUUAUUGAUUUAAAAAUUUGGUAUAACUCCAAUUACUCAGGUAUGAUCCAAUUCAAGGACAUUGCCAGGUAGGGAGUUUGACUGGGGCGGUACAUCUCUCAAAUAAUAACGGAGGUGUCCCAAGGCCAGCUCAGUGCGGACAGAAACCACACAUAGAGCAAAAGGGCAAAUGCUGACUUGAUCUCGGUGUUCAGUACACACAGGGACAGCAAAAGCUCGGCCUAUCGAUCCUUUUGGUUUAAAGAG
rfam:Drosophila virilis strain TSC#15010-1051.87 Ctg01_12407, whole genome shotgun sequence.